AAAACACAUAGCCGGAGGCUUAAACAUGCAAGUCGAGGGGUAACAGGAGUGCUUGCACUCGCUGACGACCGGCGCACGGGUGCGAAACGCGCAUAGAAUCUACCUUUUACUGAGGGAUAGCCUUUAGAAAUGAAGAUUAAUACCUCAUGGUAUUUUAGAUUGGCAUCGAUUUAAAAUUAAAGAUUUAUUGGUAAAAGAUGACUAUGCGUCUUAUUAGCUAGAUGGUAAGGUAACGGCUUACCAUGGCAACGAUAAGUAGGGGCCCUGAGAGGGGGAUCCCCCACACUGGUACUGAGACACGGACCAGACUCCUACGGGAGGCAGCAGUGAGGAAUAUUGGGCAAUGGAGGCAACUCUGACCCAGCCAUGCCGCGUGCAGGAAGACUGCCCUAUGGGUUGUAAACUGCUUUUAUACAGGAAGAAACACAUCUACGUGUAGGUGUUUGACGGUACUGUAAGAAUAAGCACCGGCUAACUCCGUGCCAGCAGCCGCGGUAAUACGGAGGGUGCAAGCGUUAUCCGGAAUCAUUGGGUUUAAAGGGUCCGCAGGCGGUCAAUUAAGUCAGAGGUGAAAUCCCACAGCUUAACUGUGGAACUGCCUUUGAUACUGGUUGACUUGAGUUAUACGGAAGUAGAUAGAAUGUGUAGUGUAGCGGUGAAAUGCAUAGAUAUUACACAGAAUACCGAUUGCGAAGGCAGUCUACUACGUGUAUACUGACGCUCAUGGGCGAAAGCGUGGGGAGCGAACAGGAUUAGAUACCCUGGUAGUCCACGCCGUAACGAUGGACACUAGUUGUUGGAAUUAUUCAGUGACUAAGGCGAAAGUGAUAAGUGUCCCACCUGGGGAGUACGAUCGCAAGAUUGAAACUCAAUGAAUUGACGG
rnacentral:rRNA from 1 species